UACAGAGGGGGCAAGCGUUGUUCGGAAUUACUGGGCGUAAAGGGCGCGUAGGCGGCUUGCUAAGUCAGACGUGAAAUCCCUCGGCUUAACCGGGGAACUGCGUCUGAUACUGGAUGGCUAGAGGUUGGGAGAGGGAUGCGGAAUUCCAGGUGUAGCGGUGAAAUGCGUAGAUAUCUGGAGGAACACCGGUGGCGAAGGCGGCAUCCUGGACCAAUUCUGACGCUGAGGAGCGAAAGCCAGGGGAGCAAACGGG
rnacentral:rRNA from 1 species